rnacentral:lncRNA from 1 species
GUACAAUAAGAUUACAAGGUUGCUUCUGAUUUCCAUGGAAUUCACCAUGUACUAGUUUCAAAACAUACUAUCUAAGCUUCCUUUCACCUUGGCUUAGGCCUUGAAUGAAUGCCAAUGUCUCUGCAAAAUUACAAAUGAAGAAUUGUUGGAUAUUGUAAAUAGACUGAGUUUUCUUCCUCAGUCUGGCUUUCCAUUGUCAUUCUUACAUUC